UACGGGGGGGGUAAGCGUUGUUCGGAAUUACUGGGCGUAAAGGGCUCGUAGGCGGCCAACUAAGUCAGACGUGAAAUCCCUCAGCUUAACUGGGGAACUGCGUCUGAUACUGGAUGGCUCGAGUUUGGGAGAGGGAUGCGGAAUUCCAGGUGUAGCGGUGAAAUGCGUAGAUAUCUGGAGGAACACCGGUGGCGAAGGCGGCAUCCUGGACCAACACUGACACUGAGGAGCGAAAGCCAGGGGAGCAAACGGG
rnacentral:rRNA from 1 species